UAGGGAAUCUUCGGCAAUGGACGAAAGUCUGACCGAGCAACGCCGCGUGAGUGAAGAAGGUUUUCGGAUCGUAAAACUCUGUUGUUAGAGAAGAACAAGGACGUUAGUAACUGAACGUCCCCUGACGGUAUCUAACCAGAAAGCCACGGCUAACUACGUGCCAGCAGCCGCGGUAAUACGUAGGUGGCAAGCGUUGUCCGGAUUUAUUGGGCGUAAAGCGAGCGCAGGCGGUUUCUUAAGUCGGAUGUGAAAGCCCCCGGCUCAACCGGGGAGGGUCAUUGGAAACUGGGAGACUUGAGUGCAGAAGAGGGGAGUGGAAUUCCAUGUGUAGCGGUGAAAUGCGUAGAUAUAUGGAGGAACACCAGUGGCGAAGGCGGCUCUCUGGUCUGUAACUGACGCUGAGGCUCGAAAGCGUGGGGAGCAAACAGG
rnacentral:rRNA from 1 species